CCGAGAACUUUGAAACUGUGGAUUUGCGGCAUUUUUCAUUCUAUGCAUUUGCCGGUAGACCUGGUGCAGAACAAUGGAGUAGAAAAAAUGAGAACAUUGAGGCACGCUCUUCUGAUGAAUCAUAGUUACUUCCACAGCAUAACUAUAAGCUUGAUGUUCAUGCUCUGAAUACUCGUCAUCCUGGAGAGUUUGAAUGUAGGGAAUUCAGAGGAUCAAUAUGGGGGCUUAUGCCUCACCACUGGGAAAGGAAAGAAGAUACAUUGUUGAAGCUGGCACACGUCGGGCCACACGGGAGGAAAACAUUGAAGAGAUCAACUGGAAGGACAAUUAGUCACCCUUCUCAUAAUUAAGCCUGAGGAGAACCCUCGUCCAGGCAAGGACUCAAACCAAAAAAUUUACACACAUGAUUGGGAAAGCAGCAACAAAUUAUGGCGGUUCAGUAAAGCUUAAGUAGUUUAAGUUUACGAACUACGCAAUGCUAAUUUUAAACUUGUGGGUUAUAUUUAAGAGAACAUGAUUAGAUGAAGUUCUUUUAGGUGUUUGUUAUCAGGUUCCCUAACACAUGGAUAUUUCACACUUAAUCCCUUAUAGAUUGAAAAACCUGAUAACUAUCAUGCUUGAAGAUC